AGACUUCACUGUUAAGCUUACGGGUGCCUAACCAACCUUUACAAUCCGAGGAUACAAGCCUCAACAAUCUUGCUCGGAGAUAUAACACUCUAAGACUUCGACCAAGGAAACACAAGUUCCUUACAACAAGAGAAUCACAAUUCUCUUCAAGUGUACAAAACGCUGAAGUAAGCUCAAGAUCACAACAACUAUGGACAAGACUUUGGCUCUCAAAAGCUUUAUGAAAUGAAUAUAAAAUGAUAAACAAUAGUAUGCAAGCAUAUAGCAAUAGUAUGAUCAGUUGUUGUGUGUUAUUGUGUUUAAAACACUGAAAUGAAG
rnacentral:lncRNA from 1 species